rnacentral:rRNA from 1 species
GUGCGAUAGGGGGAUCCCGAGUGCAGCAGGCAUUAGAGCCUGCGCUUUUUCUGUACCGUAAGGAGGUACAAGAAUAAGGGCUGGGCAAGACCGGUGCCAGCCGCCGCGGUAAUACCGGCAGCCCGAGUGAUGGCCGAUCUUAUUUGGGCCUAAAGCGUCCGUAGCUGGCCGUGCAAGUCCAUCGGGAAAAUCCACCUGCUCAACGGGUGGGCGUCCGGUAGAAACUGCACGGCUGGGACCGGAAGACUUGACAGGUACGUCCGGGGUAGGAGUGAAAUCCUGUAAUCCUGGACGGGACCACCGAUGGGGAAAACCACUUCAAGAGAACGGAUCCGACAGUGAGGGACGAAAAGCCAGGGGUCUCGAACCGGAAUAAAUACCCGGGUAGUCCUGGCCGUAAACAAUGCCUGCUAGGGGUGGCUCCCACUACGAGGGGUGUUGUGCCGAAGGAAACCCCUAAACAACCCCCCGGGAAGUACGUCGCAGGAUGAAAUUAAAGAUCGGGGGGGGNAAAAAAAAAAG